AGAGUUUGAUCCUGGCUCAGGAUGAACGCUAGCGGCAGGCUUAACACAUGCAAGUCGAAGGGCAUCGGGGAGAGUGCCUGCACUCUCUGCCGGCGACUGGCGCACGGGUGAGUAACACGUAUGCAACCUGCCCUCCACAGGGGGACAACCUUCCGAAAGGGAGGCUAAUCCCGCGUAUAUUCCCCGGGGGCAUCCCUGGGGGAGGAAAGGGUUACCGGUGGAGGAUGGGCAUGCGGCGCAUUAGGCAGUAGGCGGGGUAACGGCCCACCUAACCGACGAUGCGUAGGGGUUCUGAGAGGAAGGUCCCCCACACUGGUACUGAGACACGGACCAGACUCCUACGGGAGGCAGCAGUGAGGAAUAUUGGUCAAUGGGCGGGAGCCUGAACCAGCCAAGCCGCGUGAAGGAAGAAGGCGCCAGGCGUCGUAAACUUCUUUUGUCGGGGAACAAAGGGCGCCACGUGUGGCGUUGUGAGUGUACCCGAAGAAAAAGCAUCGGCUAACUCCGUGCCAGCAGCCGCGGU
rnacentral:rRNA from 1 species